GACGAACCGUGCAAACGUUGUUCGGAAUCACUGGGCUUAAAGGGCGCGUAGGCGGGGGACCAAGUCCGGGGUGAAAUCUUUCGGCUUAACCGGAAAACUGCCUUGGAUACUGGUCUUCUUGAGGGAGGUAGGGGCAGGUGGAACUUCCGGUGGAGCGGUGAAAUGCGUUGAUAUCGGAAGGAACGCCGGUGGCGAAAGCGGCCUGCUGGAUCUCUUCUGACGCUGAGGCGCGAAAGCUAGGGGAGCGAACGGG
rnacentral:rRNA from 1 species